GGCACGCGUGUGUCUGCCUGAUACAUUCGGCCAUACAACAGCCGUCUAAACACACCCGCCAAUGCGGUUCAACACAUUUAACGCAUCUGCUUUUCCAGCAGCAUCGGCGAUUCUCCUUUCUCAUGACCGGGCACCCACGGCAUCGCAUGCUGUCUCAGAGCCCAGCGGCCUCCCCCCUCUCUCCCCACUCCUUCUGGGGAAGCCAAGCAGCCCACCCGACUCUCCCCCUGCUAUCCUCCGCCAAAUGCCGAGCCACCUCUGGCUGUGGCACGAUCAGGCACCUACGACGUAAGGCAGCGGGGGUGGAGGAGGAGGAGGAGGAGGAGGAGGAGGAGGGGGUCUGAGCGGUGCAUCGCUGCUGACGUCGGCGGUCCGGUGCUGGACGGCGUGGCGUCGCAGCGGCCCGCGAUCGUGUCAGCAGGGCGGCGCCAUCCAUAGGAGUUUAGGCGGCGUGCCAGCGUGGCUCGGACGUAUCCCCUCCCCCCGCCACCCCUCCCCUCGGCCCUCACACGGCCUACUAGUGUGGGUGGGUGGGUGGGGGCCGUGGAUAACGGCGAGGGGUGGAGUGGAGUUCGCUCUCACGUUGUGUAGCAGAACCCACAGGUUGAACGCCAAAACUUGUCAACGCUUUUCCAGUGGGGCGAUGCGUGUGAUCAUUUCCUGAGAUGCUUCACGUGGUUUCUGCAGAAUGCAUUCUGUCUGUCGGCCUCACCAUCAGGGGGAGGAGGUUGUCCUCGUAACGAGCGUUGGCCGACAUCUCUAAGUCGUGGGCCCCGUUCGUGGCUGCUGCCUGUGUUUGUGCUAGCGCUGGGCGCGUUGUGGUCGAUACCACCUCCUGGGUAGCGUCUGUCAUACAGUAUGAGUGGGCCCCUCUUGCCUAGCGCAAACGCUCCUGCCUUCGACCCUGCUUGAUCAUCCUAGUUGAGCGCCACUUGGGGCGAGCGUCGCUCAGAGCGACGUUGGCUUGUCUCCAGGCGAAAAGGCAGCCGAAUACGGGCAUCGGCGAUGUGCACCCCAGCGUGUGUGUGUGGGGGGGGGUAGAGGCUGUUGGAGAGUGGCAUGCCUGCAGGUGUUUUCUCUCCGUGUCUAACAGAUUGCCGUUUCAGGUAUAUGAGAGUUUUUGGACAGAUGAAGCGUACUUCAGUGCUUCGAGAUGGGCUGCCCCCCCCCCUUCCUCCCCUUGUGGGGAUUCGUCAGCGUUGUGAACGGCGCUCUCGCGUUUGAGGUGGCGUGGUUUCCCCGCGCACCCAUUAUGGUGAGAGCAUCACAACUCUGAACGUGUUUUCUGCCUAUGAGACAGCGAGUAGACAGGGCACUAGAUACUGGAAGGUGCCAGCGAUUUUGUCGGAUAUGAGCUAUGGCUGCUGGUGAGUGCAACUGUAUUCAUGGUGUGCUCCCAUGACCGGACGCGCUUGUCGGCACGCGUCGAUGGAGGAGUCGCCGCCACCCAUGGGGGAAGCCACCUUCUCUGGUAGAAUCGUUUCUUGCGCACGCAUGUCCCCUUUAGGUGAUCCCAGCACGGGCUCCUUUCUGGGAUGCGUCUCUCCAGGGCGCUGGUGCGAUCCGGAGGCG
rnacentral:misc_RNA from 1 species